AUGAACGCUGGCGGCGUGCCUAAUACAUGCAAGUCGAGCGAACGGACGAGAAGCUUGCUUCUCUGAUGUUAGCGGCGGACGGGUGAGUAACACGUGGAUAACCUACCUAUAAGACUGGGAUAACUUCGGGAAACCGGAGCUAAUACCGGAUAAUAUUUUGAACCGCAUGGUUCAAAAGUGAAAGACGGUCUUGCUGUCACUUAUAGAUGGAUCCGCGCUGCAUUAGCUAGUUGGUAAGGUAACGGCUUACCAAGGCAACGAUGCAUAGCCGACCUGAGAGGGUGAUCGGCCACACUGGAACUGAGACACGGUCCAGACUCCUACGGGAGGCAGCAGUAGGGAAUCUUCCGCAAUGGGCGAAAGCCUGACGGAGCAACGCCGCGUGAGUGAUGAAGGUCUUCGGAUCGUAAAACUCUGUUAUUAGGGAAGAACAUAUGUGUAAGUAACUGUGCACAUCUUGACGGUACCUAAUCAGAGAGCCACGGCUAACUACGUG
rnacentral:rRNA from 1 species